rnacentral:rRNA from 1 species
UACGUAGGGUGCGAGCGUUAAUCGGAAUUACUGGGCGUAAAGCGUGCGCAGGCGGUGAUGUAAGACAGGUGUGAAAUCCCCGGGCUUAACCUGGGAACUGCAUUUGUGACUGCAUCGCUGGAGUGCGGCAGAGGGGGAUGGAAUUCCGCGUGUAGCAGUGAAAUGCGUAGAGAUGUGGAGGAACACCGAUGGCGAAGGCAGCCCCCUGGGUCAAGACUGACGCUCAUGCACGAAAGCGUGGGGAGCAAACAGG